CUUCACUCUUCAGGCAGCCAGAAAGGUCGUGAACUGCAGCAAAGCUGAGCUCUCCUGGAAACACCGGAGCAUCUGAAGAGGAGGCGCGUAACGUCGUGUCUCUGUGGAUGAUGAAGACUCGUCUCUGUAAGAUGUGUUUCAACCUACAUCAACAAUGAGGAAGUCCAGCCAGCACCAGGCAUUUGUGAAAUACUUGGCAAAUCCAUACGCCACCCACUUCAGUAACAUCUCCAGAAUGAAGAUAUAGGUGAAGAUUUUGUCUGCAAACUCCAACAUUGUUUUAAUGGUCUUCCUCUUCUCAAUGUAGAUGUCUUCAAAUGCCUGGAUGUGAAGACAAUGACAGUGUGCUGGAUCAGAAGGCAAGAAACCACAGAUCUGCUAUACUAUCUGCUGUACUGUGUAGAUACUGUACUAAUAGCUCCCAUCAAUGUUUUUCAAGCAAUGUUUCAAUCUUUGUGCUUCAAUCCAUCCAUUGUGUUUCUGUCAAGAGUAUAUCAGCAAUGUCACGAGUAAACAGUGAUACAUUUAGUGUCAUUUUGAAUCGUCUAAAGCAUGGUUAGCAGAAAGGUAUGUGAUGAAGAAAUAACUACGAACUGAAGAAAUAACUACAAACUGCCAAUGUGUUGUCAUUAUCCCAUGUGUCCCCAUCAUUAUCCCAUAUCCAAUGUUAUGCUAUUUUCAGAUUACAUAUAUCCUGGCUGGUCAGUGGAUCAUUGUAGUGCAAUGGAUUUGAUGUCACAAUGCAAAAUCCAUUCACAGUUUUAUUAAAACCCCAGAAAAUGAAAUGAAAAUGUACCAAAAGCUAAA